CAGUAACAAGAAUAUACAUCCCCUGAGUUCUUCUCCCUACGAACAUCACUCUCCCAUUCAAAAGAAAACACGGUCGACGUACAUCUAAACAACUCCUCCGCGCCAGAGCUCAUCAUCGGCGGUGGCGGAGCUUCCACUCGCCUUACACUCACUCGACCUAACCAAAUUGAAACAAGUCUCAACCUAAUACAUCCAAGCUACGAUGACACGACUCUUACCGACGACAGAAGAGAAAGAUCAGAAGCUUUGGUACUAAUUGCAUAAUCCAACGAUUCUUCAGUCUCUUUUUGCUUCUGUUAUGGUCCGCCUACACGGCUACACUUCAUUGAGAUUAGUUAUGGUGUGAUCGUGCUUCGGUUCGUGAAACUUGGAACGGUAUGGUGGCGAAAGAAGAUCGGCCGGCGGCAAGGGAGGAUGACGGUUGGACGGUUUUGUGAGAAACGGUUAUGGCAGAUUGAAGGGGAAAUCGACGACAGAUGAAAAAGAAGAAUUAUCAAAAGAAAAAAAAUGCUCAUGGCUUGUUGUUGUACGUUUGGCUCAAGUCGCAGCUUGGUGGCUCGCAUUUCAAUGUGUUGGCUGCCGUUUCUAUCUUUUGCCGCGUUUCAAGUUGUUAUGUGCGUUGUAGCAACUGAGGUUUUGUGCGUGGUAAACAUUCACGUUGCCGUUUCAUUUUGGCUGGUGUGCGUCUUCGUUUGGAAGCUUCAUGUUACAACUUCUGGAUGCAGCUGCAUUUUGCGCAUGAGCCCCGUUCAAAUUGCAGCUUUUGGCGUUGUUGUUUAGCUAGUGAACAUGAGUUGCGUUCUGCUUUGCGUUUGGUUUCGCAGCUUUUUGGCUCUUGUAGCUGCUACUCACGUUUGAUUGCAGCAGGAAGUGUUUGGAAUUGUUAGCUGCAGUCCGGCUUAGCAGCUUGUGUAGCAUCUUAAAGCUACAACUCUUUUUUGGUUUGUAGCUUUAGCAGCUUUCAUUUCAUUUUCUGUUUUUGUUUUGGCGCUCUUAGUACAUAGCAGCUUUUAAAAGUAGCCUUAUGCUACUUGCGCUUUGGCUUAGAGAUUUUUCCUGCAUUUCAUGUCGUUUCCGUUUGUGAUGUUGUAUCUGCAUUAUUCAAUGAAAUUAUUGAAUGAAGAUGAUAUGCAAAUGUCAGGGGUUAAUGACCUA